rnacentral:misc_RNA from 1 species
GAUGAAGAACGUAGCGAAAUGCGAUAAGUAGUGUGAAUUGCAGAAUUCAGUGAAUCAUCGAAUCUUUGAACGCACAUUGCGCCCCUUGGUAUUCCAUGGGGCAUGCCUGUUCGAGCGUCAUUUGUACCUUCAAGCUUUGCUUGGUGUUGGGUGUUUGUCCUGAGGGACUCGCCUUAAAGUAAUUGGCAGCCAGUGUUUGGUUUUGAAGCGCAGCACAAGUCGCGAUUCAAAGCUAUACGCCCGCUUCCACAAGCCUUUUUCACUUUUGACCUCGGAUCAGGUAGGGACACCCGCUGAACUUAAGCAUAUCAAUAAGCGGAGGA